rnacentral:rRNA from 1 species
UGGGGAAUAUUGGACAAUGGGCGAAAGCCUGAUCCAGCCAUGCCGCGUGUGUGAAGAAGGUCUUCGGAUUGUAAAGCACUUUAAGUUGGGAGGAAGGGCAGUAAGCGAAUACCUUGCUGUUUUGACGUAACCGACAGAAUAAGCACCGGCUAACUCUGUGCCAGCAGCCGCGGUAAUACAGAGGGUGCAAGCGUUAAUCGGAAUUACUGGGCGUAAAGCGCGCGUAGGUGGUUCGUUAAGUUGAAUGUGAAAGCCCCGGGCUCAACCUGGGAACUGCAUCCAAAACUGGCGAGCUAGAGUAGGGCAGAGGGUGGUGGAAUUUCCUGUGGAGCGGUGAAAUGCGUAGAUAUAGGAAGGAACACCAGUGGCGAAGGCGACCACCUGGGCUCAUACUGACACUGAGGUGCGAAAGCGUGGGGAGCAAACAGG